rnacentral:lncRNA from 1 species
CGCAUUUCCAACCCAUCAAAUCAGCUGCAGGCACCGCACCGUCUAACAGACCCAGGUGUUCCUGCUGGAAGAAACUGUCUUUAAGUUUCCCAGAAUUGAAGGGGCUUUUCUCGCUUGCUCACGCCCACUCUUUUGAAACCCUAAUGGCUGAAGAGCAUCAUCAAGAGAAGGGGAAGAUGAAGCUGACUCCCUGCACCUGCUUCCUCCCCAUUCUGUUGGCUCGGGUCGGUGUGGGCUUUUAGCCUCUCUGAAUGUGGAGGUUCCCAGGGAUACGGGGAACCACAAAGGUCCAUAUUCUCAAAUGCAGCACUUCUUAACCAAGGCAUGGCUUUUUCUAGGUGGUCGGAGGCCAAAUACUCUGCUGCUGGCCAUCCCAACCAGUAGGCACAGGGAAAUGCCAGAAAAGAAGCAGCUGGGGCUUCUCUUGCUGAGGAAGAGGGUGAAAUGAACCUUGCUUGCCGCAGCCAGUUUCUGACCCUGCUGCAGAGAUGACGGAUGAGAUUCCAGCUGUGAUGGAGAUGUGGUCCUGGGAGGCCAUUCUAGGCACUGCUCUUCAAAGAGGUUGUCUCCAUCCUGGGAUAGAAGUUCAUAAGGGGAAAUGUACAAACACAGUUUUCCUGCCACCUCCAAGCUGCUUGGGGCCGGACUGGAUGCCCUGCCGGCCCCUCACUCUUCUUACCUUUGAACAUCGACCCUGGCCAGGCAUUUGUUUAGGCAGGUUUUCUAAUUUAACUUUUACAACAACCUGUGAAAUGGCUACGAUUAACCCGCUUUCAUGGCUGAGCACCUGGCUGGGAGAUGUAAGGUACUUGCCCAAGGAAACCAAUCAAUUAUCAACCUGAAUUUGCCUGACUUCCCACUCAUGCUUUGGUUGCAGUUCCAGAGUCUGCUACAGGAUCUCCCAUACAGAGUGGCCUGAAGGCACUGGUUUCCCUUGGGAAACAGCGAACUCAUGUCCCUGGACUUCUCCCCUGUGGCCUCCCUCCCUGCUUCCCUGGGACUGUUAGUACCUUCUCCUAUGUUUCAUGUUGACCAUACAGCUUUGCCUUUUUCCAGUCUAGGUUUAUGCCAGACAUUGUGUCUGUUAUUUUCCCUUUUUAAAGUGAUAUCUGGGCUGAGUGCAAUGGCUCAUGCCUGUAAUCCCAGUACUUUGGGAGGCCAAGGCAGGCGGAUCACCUGAGGUCAGGAGUUCGAGACCAGCCUGACCAACAUGGAGAAAUCCCAUGUCUACUAAAAAGACAAAAUUAGCUGGGCAUGGUGGCAGAUGCCUGUAAUCCCAGCUAUUCAGGAGGCUGAGGCAGAAGAAUCGCUUGAACCUGCGAGGCAGAAAUUGUGGUGAGCAGAGAUCACGCCAUUGCACUCCAGCCUGGGCAACAAGAGUGAAACUCUGUCUCAAAAAUAAAUAAAUAAAUAAAAUAAGUGAUAUCUGUGA